CCCUUAGAUGUUCUGGGCCGCACACGCGCUACACUGAAGGAGGCAGCGUGUACUCCUGGUUCGAAAGAUUUGGGUAACCCGCGAAUCUCCUUCGUGCUAGGGAUUGAGGUUUGCAAUUAUCCUUCAUGAACGAGGAAUUCCCAGUAAGUGCAAGUCAUAAGCUUGCGCUGACUACGUCCCUGCCCUUUGUACACACCGCCCGUCGCUACUACCGAUUGAAUGAUUUAGUGAGGACUUCGGACUGGGACCGAUGCGGCUUUCGGGCUGCGUCGGUAUUCUGGAAAGAUGUCCAAACUGUAUCAUUUAGAGGAAGUAAAAGUCGUAACA
rnacentral:rRNA from 1 species